rnacentral:rRNA from 1 species
GACGAACGCUGGCGGCGUGCUUAACACAUGCAAGUCGAACGGAAAGGCCCUGCUUUUGUGGGGUGCUCGAGUGGCGAACGGGUGAGUAACACGUGAGUAACCUGCCCUUGACUUUGGGAUAACUUCAGGAAACUGGGGCUAAUACCGGAUAGGAGCUCCUGCUGCAUGGUGGGGGUUGGAAAGUUUCGGCGGUUGGGGAUGGACUCGCGGCUUAUCAGCUUGUUGGUGGGGUAGUGGCUUACCAAGGCUUUGACGGGUAGCCGGCCUGAGAGGGUGACCGGCGGCAUUGGGACUGAGAUACGGCGCAGACGGCUACGGGAGGCAGCGGGGGGGAAGAGUGCGGAGUGGGCGGGAGCGUGAUGCAGCGACGCCGCGUGCGGGAUGACGGCCUUCGGGUUGUAAACCGCUUUCGCCUGUGACGAAGCGUGAGUGACGGUAAUGGGUAAAGAAGCACCGGCUAACUACGUG